CUAUACAUGCAGUCGAGCGAGCCGAACUAAUUGAUUUACCUUCGGGUAUGAAGUUAGGGAAGCGAGCGGCGGAUGGGUGAGUAACACGUGGGUAACCUACCCUAUAGUCUGGGAUACCACUUGGAAACAGGUGCUAAUACCGGAUAAAAGGAGAGAUCACAUGAUUUCUUUUUGAAAGGCGGCGUAAGCUGUCGCUAAAGGAUGGACCCGCGGUGCAUUAGCUAGUUGGUAAGGUAACGGCUUACCAAGGCAACGAUGCAUAGCCGAGUUGAGAGACUGAUCGGCCACAUUGGGACUGAGACACGGCCCAAACUCCUAUGGGAGACAGCAGUAGGGAAUCUUCCACAAUGGACGCAAGUCUGAUGGAGCAACGCCGCGUGAGUGAAGAAGGUUUUCGGAUCGUAAAGCUCUGUUGUUGGUGAAGAAAGAUAGUGAGAGUAACUGCUCAUUAUUUGCCGGUAAUCAACCAGAAAGUCACGGCUAACUACGUGCCAGCAGCCGCGGUAAUACGUAGGUGGCAAGCGUUGUCCGGAUUUAUUGGGCGUAAAGCGAGCGCAGGCGGAAAGAUAAGUCAGAUGUGAAAGCCCUCGGCUUAACCGAGGAAUAGCAUCGGAAACUGUCUUUCUUGAGUGCAGAAGAGGAGAGUGGAACUCCAUGUGUAGCGGUGGAAUGCGUAGAUAUAUGGAAGAACACCAGUGGCGAAGGCGGCUCUCUGGUCUGUAACUGACGCUGAGGCUCGA
rnacentral:rRNA from 1 species